AGAGUUUGAUCCUGGCUCAGAACGAACGCUGGCGGCGCGCUUAACACAUGCAAGUCGAACGAGAAGGCGUAGCAAUACGCUGGUACAGUGGCGAACGGGUGAGGAAUACAUGGGUAACCUACCCUCGAGUGGGGGAUAACCCGCCGAAAGGCGGGCUAAUACCGCGUACGCUUCCGGUCUUGCGGGAUCGGAAGGAAAGCUGUCCCGUGGGGAUGGCGCUCAAGGAUGGGCUCAUGUCCUAUCAGCUUGUUGGUAGGGUAACGGCCUACCAAGGCAUCGACGGGUAGCUGGUCUGAGAGGACGAUCAGCCACACUGGCACUGCGACACGGGCCAGACUCCUACGGGAGGCAGCAGUGAGGAAUAUUGCGCAAUGGGCGAAAGCCUGACGCAGCGACGCCGCGUGGGGGAUGAAGGUCUUCGGAUUGUAAACCCCUUUCGGGAGGGAAGACGGCCUUCGACAACGAAGGCGGACG
rnacentral:rRNA from 1 species